AGAGGAAUGGAUCAGCCCCUCGUGAUGGACGGUGGCUGCUCCUCCUUUGUUGCUUUUUGUGUGUGUUGCAGCCUGGCAGAUGGCCACGAAUUGGCGGCGUGUUUGGUGCAAGUGCAUGUCGUGUGCCUCCAGCAGGAAGGAGAUUGGAGACCUGACACUGCUGUGCUGGGAAGGUGCCUUCAACCCACCCUUAUGCCAGGCUGGUUUUGCAGGGGAGUCAAGUGUCAACCCUCCUCCUUUGAAGGGAGCUGUUUUGUGACUGAGUGCAAUGCAGAGUUGCUCCUGCAAACGCAGUCGUGUCCGUGUUACAGUGGUGAGAUUGCUGGUGUUGGCCGCUGCGUCUGGAUUUUAGAGCCGAGUUGGCAGGGUGGACGUGAAAAGUGGUGCCUCAGCCAUGGGUGUCGUGGCAGUAAUGCGGUGAGCAGGGUCCAGGUGGAGAGGGCAGGGAGGUGAAGCCCAGGGCUGCCCCUAGUGCUGGAUGGUGGCUGCUACUCCCUUGUUGCUUUCUGUGUCUCUUGCAGCGUGGCGGCAGGCCUUGGGUUGAGCUGCCCGCGUCGUGCCUUUGUCCUCCGGGUCCUGUGUGAAGGAACUGGAGUCCUGGCUCUGCCGUGCUGGAAAGCUAAGUUAAGCCAAGCGAUCCCGUGCUAGUUCACCAUUUGCUGACAUGUCCUUAGCGCUGUGAUCAAGGGAGCUGGUGUGUUCUGAGCUACGGCCUGCAUCAGCUUGUGCAACCGCAGUCGUGUCGUCAUUGCAGUGCUGCAGUGGCCGGUGCUGGCCCGUGCCUGGGAGUUUGGAGAAGAGGUCGCCAGGAUGAGUGUCUGGAAUGCAUCAGCAGCCGGGGCUGUCAUGCAAGUGAGCAGGUGAGCAAGGCGUGAGAGGAGAGGGCAGGGAGGAGAAGAACAGUACUGGCCAGAGUUGAUAGCUCACGGUUGCUCCUCCUUUCUUGCACUGUGUGUCUGCUGUCCCCUGUUAUUUUUCCGUGAGUCGCCCUGUCCCCGUCAUGCACUUGUCAUCCCUGGAGUGUGUGGAGGCAACGGUGACCUGACCCUGCUGUCCUGCAAAGAUAAGUUAUCCCACACCAUACCUCAGCCGGGCUUUUCGUUGGGCUGAAAUCCCCGUCCUUGCGUUUUGAGGGGAGCGGUUGUGAAACGAGCUAGGGCCCCCAAGAGCCUCUGUAACCACAGGAGUGUCUCUGUUGCAGUGAGUGAAUUGCUGGUGUUAGCCCCUAUCUCUGGAGCUGUGAGAAGUUUCCGAGGAGGAGCUGAAGGAAUGCUGCAACAGCCGUGGCUGUCGUGCAAGUAAGCGGGCCAGCAUUUUAAAGCCUUUUUUUGAGAUUGGUCGAGAACUGAACGAUGUGGAAGUCUCCUCGCCUAGUGAUUUAAGUGUUUUUUUUUCAUUUUUCUUUCUUUGACUGUAGAGGCUUGACAAUGACAUCACCAAAACGUGUUACGCCUUUUUUCUCUGCCUGUUCCCCUUUUCAGAGUGGCUUGGCCUUCUUCAAAGGUGUAAAGACAUUUAUUUAAGGACUGAGAUACAUGCAGACCCUGACUCUUUGGUAAUGAUCUGAUUUCGUCUGGAAUCUGCAUGUAGCCUUGGACAGAAAGGGAUUUAGCACUAUUCACCUUCUCUUUUUGAACCGUCUGAAAAUAAAUUUUUUUAAUUAAUGA